rnacentral:rRNA from 1 species
CGACGGCAGCACGGGAGCAAUCCUGGUGGCGAGUGGCGAACGCGUGAGUAAUGUAUCGGAACGUACCUUUCAGUGGGGGAUAACGUAGCGAAAGUUACGCUAAUACCGCAUAUUCUGUGAGCAGGAAAGCAGGGGAUCGCAAGACCUUGCGCUGAUUGAGCGGCCGAUAUCAGAUUAGCUAGUUGGUGAGGUAAAGGCUCACCAAGGCGACGAUCUGUAGCGGGUCUGAGAGGAUGAUCCGCCACACUGGAACUGAGACACGGUCCAGACUCCUACGGGAGGCAGCAGUGGGGAAUUUUGGACAAUGGGGGCAACCCUGAUCCAGCCAUGCCGCGUGAGUGAAGAAGGCCUUCGGGUUGUAAAGCUCUUUCAGCCGGGAAGAAAACGCAUGGGUUAAUACCCUGUGUGGAUGACGGUACCGGAAUAAGAAGCACCGGCUAACUACGUGCCAGCAGCCGCGGUAAUACGUAGGGUGCGAGCGUUAAUCGGAAUUACUGGGCGUAAAGCGUGCGCAGGCGGUUUGUUAAGAUAGGCGUGAAAUCCCCGGGCUCAACCUGGGAACUGCGUUUAUGACUGGCAGGCUAGAGUAUGGCAGAGGGGGGUGGAAUUCCACGUGUAGCAGUGAAAUGCGUAGAGAUGUGGAGGAACACCGAUGGCGAAGGCAGCCCCCUGGGCCAAUACUGACGCUCAUGCACGAAAGCGUGGGUAGCAAACAGGAUUAGAUACCCUGGUAGUCCACGCCCUANACGAUGUCAACUAGGUGUUGGGUGGNUAAAACCAUUUAGUACCG